rnacentral:rRNA from 1 species
UACGAAGGGGGCAAGCGUUGUUCGGAAUUACUGGGUUUAAAGGGCACGUAGGCGGCUUAUUUAGUCAGGGGUGAAAACGUUCGGCUUAACCGGGGACCUGCCAUUGAUACUGCAAGUCUCGAGUGCGGCAGAGGGGGUUGGAAUGUGUGGUGUAGCGGUGAAAUGCGUAGAUAUCAGGAAGAACACCAGUCGCGAAGGCAGUUCCCUGGGUCGGAACUGACGCUGAGGCGCGAAAGCGUGGGGAGCAAACAGG